rnacentral:rRNA from 1 species
UGGGGAAUAUUGGACAAUGGGCGCAAGCCUGAUCCAGCCAUGCCGCGUGAGUGAUGACGGCCUUAGGGUUGUAAAGCUCUUUCGCUCGGGACGAUAAUGACGGUACCGAGAUGAGAAGCCCCGGCUAACUUCGUGCCAGCAGCCGCGGUAAUACGAAGGGGGCUAGCGUUGUUCGGAAUUACUGGGCGUAAAGCGCGUGUAGGCGGGUCUUUAAGUCAGGGGUGAAAUGCCAAGGCUCAACCUUGGAACUGCCUUUGAUACUGGAGAUCUUGAGUCCGGGAGAGGUGAGUGGAAUUGCGAGUGUAGAGGUGAAAUUCGUAGAUAUUCGCAAGAACACCAGUGGCGAAGGCGGCUCACUGGCCCGGAACUGACGCUGAGACGCGAAAGCGUGGGGAGCAAACAGGAUUAGAUACCCUGGUAGUCCACGCUGUAAACGAUGUGUGCUAGACGUUGGGGAGCCUAGCUCUUCGGUGUCGCCGCUAACGCUGUAAGCACACCGCCUGGGGAGUACGGCCGCAAGG